AUUCCAGCUCCAAUAGCGUAUAUUAAAGUUGUUGCAGUUAAAAAGCUCGUAGUUGGAUUUCUGUUCCGGAUGUCUAAUCCUCUCCCUCUGGGAUUGUGUACCUAUAGAUGUUCGGGGCAUUAUUUGCAAACCUCCCUUUCUGCCAUUAAGUUGGUGGACUGGUGAGAUUGCAUCGUUUACUGUGAAAAAAUUAGAGUGUUUAAAGCAGGCGUUCGCGCAUAAAUGAAUACAUUAGCAUGGAAUAAUAAGAUACGGCCUUGGUGGCCUAUUUUGUUGGUUUGCACACCAGGUAAUGAUUAAUAGGGACAGUUGGGGGUAUUCAUAUUUCAGCGUCAGAGGUGAAAUUCUUGGAUCGCUGAAAGAUGAGCUUAGGCGAAAGCAUUUACCAAGGAUGUUUUCAUCA
rnacentral:rRNA from 1 species